UGGGAAUUUGGACAAUGGGCGAAGCCUGAUCCAGCAAUGCCGCGUGUGUGAAGAAGGCCUUCGGGUUGUAAAGCACUUUUGUCCGGAAAGAAAUCCUUGGCUCUAAUACAGUCGGGGGAUGACGGUACCGGAAGAAUAAGCACCGGCUAACUACGUGCCAGCAGCCGCGGUAAUACGUAGGGUGCAAGCGUUAAUCGGAAUUACUGGGCGUAAAGCGUGCGCAGGCGGUUUGCUAAGACCGAUGUGAAAUCCCCGGGCUCAACCUGGGAACUGCAUUGGUGACUGGGCAGGCUAGAGUAUGGCAGAGGGGGGUAGAAUUCCACGUGUAGCAGUGAAAUGCGUAGAGAUGUGGAGGAAUACCGAUGGCGAAGGCAGCCCCCUGGGCAAGUACUGACGCUCAUGCACGAAAAGCGUGGGGAGCAAACNGGAUUAAUACCCUGGUAGUCCACGCCCUAAAANGAUGUCAACUAGUUGUUGGGGAUUCAUUUUCCUUAGUAACGUAGCUAACGCGUGAAGUUGACCGCCUGGGGAGUACGGUCGCAAGAUUAAAACUUAAAUAAUUGACGGGGUCAGCUG
rnacentral:rRNA from 1 species